AGAGUUUGAUCCUGGCUCAGAUUGAACGCUGGCGGCAUGCCUUACACAUGCAAGUCGAACGGCAGCACGGGAGCAAUCCUGGUGGCGAGUGGCGAACGGGGGUAAUAUAUCGGAACGUGCCCAGUCGUGGGGGAUAACGCAGCGAAAGCUGUGCUAAUACCGCAUACGAUCUCUGGAUGAAAGCGGGGGACUCGCAAGGGCCUCGCGCGAUUGGAGCGGCCGAUAUCAGAUUAGCUAGUUGGUGGGGUAAAAGCCCACCAAGGCGACGAUCUGUAGCUGGUCUGAGAGGACGACCAGCCACACUGGAACUGAGACACGGUCCAGACUCCUACGGGAGGCAGCAGUGGGGAAUUUUGGACAAUGGGCGCAAGCCUGAUCCAGCAAUGCCGCGUGCAGGAUGAAGGCCUUCGGGUUGUAAACUGCUUUUGUACGGAACGAAACGGUCCUUUCUAAUACAAGGGGCUAAUGACGGUACCGUAAGAAUAAGCACCGGCUAACUACGUGCCAGCAGCCGCGGUAAUACGUAGGGUGCGAGCGUUAAUCGGAAUUACUGGGCGUAAAGCGUGCGCAGGCGGUUAUAUAAGACAGAUGUGAAAUCCCCGGGCUCAACCUGGGACCUGCAUUUGUGACUGUAUAGCUAGAGUACGGUAGAGGGGGAUGGAAUUCCGCGUGUAGCAGUGAAAUGCGUAGAUAUGCGGAGGAACACCGAUGCGAAGGCAGAUCUCUGGGCCGUAACUGACGCUGAGGAGCGAAAGCGUGGGGAGCGAACAGGAUUAGAUACCCUGGUAGUCCACGCCGUAAACGUUGGGAACUAGAUGUAGGGACCAUUCCACGGUUUCUGUGUCGCAGCUAACGCAUUAAGUUCCCCGCCUGGGGAGUACGGUCGCAAGACUAAAACUCAAAGGAAUUGACGGGGGCCCGCACAAGCGGCGGAGCAUGCGGAUUAAUUCGAUGCAACGCGAAGAACCUUACCAAGGCUUGACAUAUAGAGGAAACGUGCAGAAAUGUACGCCCCGCAAGGUCUCUAUACAGGUGGUGCAUGGUUGUCGUCAGCUCGUGUCGUGAGAUGUUGGGUUAAGUCCCGCAACGAGCGCAACCCUCGUCCUAUGUUGCCAGCACGUAAUGGUGGGAACUCAUGGGAGACUGCCGGGGUCAACUCGGAGGAAGGUGGGGAUGACGUCAAAUCAUCAUGCCCCUUAUGUCUUGGGCUUCACGCAUGCUACAAUGGCCGGUACAAAGGGCUGCGAUACCGUAAGGUGGAGCGAAUCCCAAAAAGCCGGUCUCAGUUCGGAUUGAGGUCUGCAACUCGACCUCAUGAAGUUGGAGUCGCUAGUAAUCGUGGAUCAGCAACGCCACGGUGAAUACGUUCCCGGGCCUUGUACACACCGCCCGUCAAGUCAUGAAAGUCGGUAACACCCGAAGCCAGUGGCCCAACCGCAAGGAGGGAGCUGUCGAAGGUGGGAUCGGUGAUUAGGACUAAGUCGUAACAAGGUAACC
rnacentral:rRNA from 1 species